UCGUUGGUUCUCAUGCAGAGAAUACUUAUCCACUUCUUUCACUCAGUUCUUGGGUAGAAAUGGCAUUGCUCGUUAUUUCUCAUGCCUAUAUACAUAUCAACAAAACGGGUGUGCCAAACAACAACAUUGCCAUAUCACUAAAAUUGGCAUGGCAUUAUUAGCAACUGCUCCAAUCCCUUUGAUAUAUUGGGAUGAUGUUUUUCUCUCAGCAAUGUAGCUUAUCAAUCGUUUACCAUCUCUCUCAAAUGAACACAAAUUCCCUUAUGAACCCUUUCAUCCAAAUUAUAAUUUUUUAAAGAUUUUUCGUUGUGCUGCUUAUCCUUGCAAAAACCAUAUAAUACUCACAAAUUUGACUUCAAAUCUACGCCAUCAAUUUUUAUUGGCUAUACAGCUAACCAUAAAGGUUAUAAGUGUUUAACAGCAUCUGGCAAGAUCAUAAUUUCUAGACAUGUUCUUUUCAAUGAGACUAUAUUCCUUUACAAAGAUCUUUUUUCCUCCACUACAACUCAACCUCAAUCUAAAAAUGACUUUUCUUUCCCUCACACUACAUUUACUAUGCCAGAUUAUCACCCAACUUGCUAGAUCCAACUCCCUUACAGACUCAAAUACCUUCAUUUCCUUCUUUUUCAACUCUAAACAAUACAUAUUCAUCUUAGCCAACUCUAGAGUUUACACCCAAAUCUAUUCUUUGGUCCACAAAUUUUUAUUAUUCAUCAAAUUCACCUUCUCAUACACUAACACUAAUUUCUUCUUUAUCUCAUUCCUCAUUAGUUUCACCAUAAUCUACACCUCUUCACACCAAAUUACAUCACCAAAGCAUCCCCAUCUCAAGAAUUCAGAUUCAGUUUGGAGAUUUACCUCCAUCACCUUCUACAGGAAGUAUUCAUCCAAUGAAACCUCAAGCAAAGUCAGAUUCUGAUUGGGACUCGGACUUGUAUGAUCGCUGUUCAACAUGUGAUAUUGUGUCUAUCUAGGAUUCAAUAUUAUUGUAUGAUCCAGCCGCAAACAAGCCUUAGUGAGUCAUUCCUCUACAAAAACUGAGCAUAGAGGUUUAGUAGCAGUAAGUUGAUUUGGAUAUAGAAUCUCCUCCAUGAACUUGAUUUUAAGAUUCAAGGCAUCCUAACACUUUAUUGUGACAAUUAGGGGUGGCAAACGGAUCUAAACUCGUCGGGCCGGCACGCGUAACCUGCCAAAAAAGGCGGGUCGGGCUGGAAAAUUGGGACCGCCAAAUAGCAAAAAUCCGCCUAAUCCGCACCGCUUAAACUGUGGGCU